CGUGAGCACACGCAGACACGGCGAUCACGUGGGCGUCAGGGCAGCUCCCCCCCAGGAGAGGUCUCUCAACACCCCCGGACAUCCCAGAUGGGCGGGGCACCUCCACUGAGGACCUGCCUGGCUUCAGGUCACUGUCCCUUGCUUCUGGACCUGGAGGAGUGGACGGCCGACUGGCCGAUGCGAAGGCCUGGCGGAUGGGGGACAUGGGCUCUGGGGUGGGAGGGCAGCACUGGGGCAGCCUGGCGCUACCCUGAGAGUGACCCUGGGUGGGGGACCAUCAGGGCUGGCCGCCCCAGCAGGCCACUGUAACCUGUGAGAAGGUCUCCCCUGCCACAGCCGGGCGUCCCUGCCACACGCGUCCUACGCGGACGGGUCCCUGCACUGCCCACGCCUGCAGCUGGGGCCCCGGGAGGCGCUGGACAGGAGGGAGCCCUCUGCGGUGGAGGCCUUCAGGGAGGCCCGCAGCUGAAGAGCCACACGCAGUGGCCUCUGCAGGGGCAGGGGACGCACUGCCCAGGUCAGAGCCCAGGCCACUGCCUUCUCUUUCCCGAUGCCCUAGGAGUGGGCCUCCUGAGGCCAUGUGGCAGGACAGUGGCCUGGGCUCUGCUCCACUCCUGAGCAGGACGCAGCACCAGGGAGCACUCAUGAUCCUGCGUCUCUGGACACUCACUCCGCCCACCAGGAGCCUGUCCACCACCCAUCUGAGAUGUCCAAGUCAGGGUCCUCCUGGUCACCUGAGUUUCAUCCUUCCCAGGGAAGGCUGGGAACAAGGGAGUCAGUGACAAAUGGCCAGUGACAUUCCCAAACUCAGCACUGGCCUUCCCCGAGUGGCCCGGGAAGAGGUCGAGCUGAGCUUCCGGAUCUUCUCGGGGUUCAGAAGGCGGCUCCCGGGAAGGUGCUGCAGAGGUCCCGGUUCCUCUGUCACCUGAGACGAGCAUCUCCUGCCAGGGGUCACCCAAAGCAGGUGCCCACCACGCUCUGCCACUCGAAGCCACCCUCGCCUGGCCUGGCAAGGUCCCAGGGGCCAGCACCCCCGGUCCAGCAGCAGAGGGCGAGGCCCAGCAGUGGCCUCCCAGGCCGCAGACAGAGCUGCAGAGACCUGCGGCAGCCGUCCCCAACAGGCCUGAGACCAGCUCCAGGGCUGUCCCUCGAGCUCCCCCAUGCUGCCUUCUACGUCUUCGAAGGUGACAGGUGGCAUCUUAUGCUGGAGGAUGGCAGCGCUACGGGGGGCACGCAGACAGGGAGCCGCAGGGCGCGGGGGACGGGGCAGGGCCGGGCAGCUACAAGCCCUGGCAGCCUGCUGACCGAGACCCGAGUCACAGAGGAAGGCCACAUCCACCCGGCCACGCCCAUGAGUCACCCACUCACCCUCCCCUUUCACGCCCUGUGCCCCCUCAGGCCCACCCCAGAUCUAACCGCAUCAGAUCCUCCAGGCUCGGGGGGCUGUCAAUCAACACCCCCCGCCCCGGGGCCUGGCACACCCUAGACUGGCCAAUCAGCACUGGCCUGGGCGUUAGCUGGGAACCUCUGCCCCUCCCCAGAGUCACCUAGAAUGGCUGGUGGCCGUCCCUGAUACCACGUGGGGGGCAGCUCCUGGAGAAGGAGCCCCUCAGGAGGACACAGGGGCAGGGGCCUGGGGUGUCCGGGAACCCCGGGUCCCGAGGGCUGCAGCCAGUCUCGGCCUCCAGAGAGGCCACAGAGCUCCCUCCUGCUGGAGCCAGCUGAAGUGGGCCUGGUCAUCGUGAGCAGAGGGCCCCAGGGGACACGGCCCUGCAGGACGCACAGGAGACUCGGAGCUGUGGCAGCUCAGCCCAGAGCCACACGCAGGCACGCCAGGCACGUCACCUGUCCUCACUGCCACCGCCGACCCCAGCUGGAGAGGCGCACCAGGCCACAGGGCCCGGGCUCCAGAGGCCGUCCCCAGCCUCAGUUUCCCAUCUGUAAAUGGGGUCAGCAGCUCCUCCAGAGCAGGUCACUGGGAGGCUCGGCAGGGGAUACUCCCGGCCACCCUCGCAGCGGCCACACGGCCCAGCCUGGCCCGGGGGCCUGAGGUCAGGUACACGCGCUCUCAGGCCUGCUCUUACAGAUGGCGGGCACCCACCCUGGACAAGUGGACCCCAGCCUGCUCAUCUUUCUGGGGACACUUCCUUCCCCAGAAGAGGAAAGGACAGGCAAAGCCUCUGCCCUCCUGUCCUGCUCCUGGAGGCUGUCACGCGAGAAUGUGAUGCUCGGCGCUACGGCAGCUAUCUUGCAACCCUGAGAAAACGGCAUUUGGAUUUGCUUUGCUUUAAGGAGAAGGCCCUUUUCUGUCGGCUUGUGGUUGCAGGCUGCACUUUAACUUCCAAAGCAGUUAAGAGCAGGGAUUCUGGCCCCGGCUGCCUGUGUGACCUCAAGGCAAGUUACUUAACUUCUCUGUGCCUUAGUUCCCUUUUCUGUUAAACAGGAAUGAUUUUCCUUAUUUUAUUUUAUCGAUCUUUUUUAAAAUAGAUGGCAGCAGAAUGCGUUACAAUUUAUAUUACACACGUAGGGCACCAUUUUUUCCUACCUCUGGUUGUAUAUAAAGUCUGU
rnacentral:lncRNA from 1 species